GUGUUCCACUUAAUCAAUGUAUGCAUUCCAGUAGAUUUUGAUGUUUUUAUGGGCAAUGAUAACGUGCAUUACAUUAGGAUUUCUGAAUGAGUUGGGCCAUUUUAUUGUUUGUAAUAUAUGAGGAUAUGACAUCAAAGUCUCUAAACAUGGCAUGCAUCCUCGGGAUAAUUUAAUACAUGUAGUUUUUUCACCAAGUGAAGUUGACAGCGGAACUUGAAGUUAACAUAUUAUUUUAAGAGAAUUAGUUUUUAAUGCUUAAGAAUUGUGAAUUUAUUUAUAAUUUUAAAAGAUUUUUGAUGUGGAUGCAUAUUGGUGCAUAGUUUAAAGUUUCAGAGAAAUUUUUGAUGUAAUGUUUUUGAGUCUAUUGAAGUAUUUUACACAGUACUAUAAUGGGACGCUAGGUACAUACUGUAAUAAUGACUGUUUUGUUGAAUAAGAAUUUAUAUAUUUGUAUUUGAAUUUCAUAUACCCAAAGUAUCUACAUAAGUAUACAUGCAUGUUCAUUUGGUUUUCGAAGACAUUUAUGAUCAUUGACAAUGUUAAGAUGGCUGGUGGCCACUCAGUGACUAAUAUAAGUUGUAUGACAAUGAAUAAAAACUACUCAAAAUGUC
rnacentral:misc_RNA from 1 species